GACGAACGCUGGCGGCGUGCCUAAUACAUGCAAGUCGAACGAGAGCGACUGGUGCUUGCACUGGUCAAUCUAGUGGCGAACGGGUGAGUAACACGUGGGUAACCUGCCCAUCAGAGGGGGAUAACAUCCGGAAACGGAUGCUAGAACCGCAUAGGUCUUCGAGCCGCAUGGCUUGAAGAGGAAAAGAGGCGCAAGCUUCUGCUGAUGGAUGGACCCGCGGUGCAUUAGCUAGUUGGUGAGGUAACGGCUCACCAAGGCCGUGAUGCAUAGCCGACCUGAGAGGGUGAUCGGCCACAUUGGGACUGAGACACGGCCCAAACUCCUACGGGAGGCAGCAGUAGGGAAUCUUCCGCAAUGGACGCAAGUCUGACGGAGCAACGCCGCGUGAGUGAAGAAGGUUUUCGGAUCGUAAAACUCUGUUGUUAGAGAAGAACAAGUGCUAGAGUAACUGUUAGCGCCUUGACGGUAUCUAACCAGAAAGCCACGGCUAACUACGUG
rnacentral:rRNA from 1 species